AUGUCAGAGCCAAGUUCGAAAAUUCGCCGCAUCAACUUUUCCGAGUCGGAUCAGCCAUCAGUACCCCAUAUCACUGCGGAGUAUACACGGUGCGUCCAUUAAGUUUCGAGACAUGAACCAUAUCUCAGCAAAUAGUAGCGCCAGCUAGGUAUUCGAAGGUGCAUUUUAAAGCUUAAACCUUUUUCUAUUGACGUGUCAAACUUCAUUACAUUUGCUUGUCAAAUAACAAGGAUAUGACAGUUUUCCCUAAACAGUUUUUGAUCUGAUGUUGAAAUUCCAACAUGGAACAAAGAGCAAAGAUCAUUGCAGAGAAGUCGUUGCAGCCGCCAGAAAUGAUCCAAACUUUCUGAAAUCAAUUGUUACUGGCGACGAAACAUGGUGCUUUCAGUAUGAUCCAGAAACUAAGCGCCAAAGUUCGGAAUGGAAGUCAAAAAACUCACCACAAGCCAAAAAAAGCGAAAAUCUCCUUCAAAAAUCAAAACAAUGCUCAUCAUUUUCUUCGAUAGUAAAGGCAUUAUCCACAAAGAGUUCGUUCCAACUGGUCAAACGGUCACUGGCACGUAUUAUCUUGAAGUUUUAAAGCAUUUGAUGGCCAGAAUCCGUCGUACUCGACCCGAAUAUCGCGAUCCAGAGAAAUGGUGUCUGUUGCACGACAAUGCGCCGAGUCACAAAUCAAUCAUUGUUCGUCAGUUUUUAGCCCGAAAUCAAGUCUGUGUGUUGGACCACCCACCGUAUUCACCUGAUUUGGCGCCGUGUGACUUCUCCUUGUUUCCAAAGUUGAAGUUGAAGUUGAAAGGAUGCUUUUUUGAAGAUGUUGAGACCAUUAAAACGACACGAGCAUUGGAGGCUAUUCCACAAAAUGAGCUGAAGCACGCAUUUGAAUCACUAUUGAAUCGCUGUGAGAAGUGUAAUAAAGCGAAGGGAGAAUACUUCGAAUAAUAAAUUUGAAAAACUUGAAAUAUCUUGUUUAUUUUGCGAUUUAUGGAAUCAGUCUCGAAACUUAAUGGACGCACCGUGUAUAAUUGAAUCCUUAAAAGAAGAAAUAACUUAUUUGCGUGGGCAGAAUGCUUCUCUGCACCAAAAAUUAGAUUCGAUGGCUGAGAAGCUGGCGGAAAAUAACGCGCUCCUAAAAAUAAGGACGAAGGCGGAGCAUAAGGAAGGGCUAUCGGGGUUUCCCUUCCCCCUUAAGUCAGAUGAUGACUUAAAUCUCUUCGAGGCCACAAUGACGCCAACCCUCCGAGAUUAUUACAAACAAAAAAUAACCAACAUGGCCAAGAACGACCAUUUCGUUAAAGCGGUCCGCAUGGUUCUGGAUGAAAAUCUUGUCCAGAACUACAACUUGGAUGGGUCAAGCGGUAAGAAAAGUCUUAAAGGCUUUUCAAACCUUUACCAAA